GAUGAACGCUGGCGGCGUGCUUAACACAUGCAAGUCGAACGGUGAAGGCGGAGCUUUCUCUGCUGGAUCAGUGGCGAACGGGUGAGUAACACGUGAGCAAUCUGCCCCUGACUCUGGGAUAAGCGCUGGAAACGGCGUCUAAUACUGGAUACGAGCUGCGAAGGCAUCUUCAGCAGCUGGAAAGAAUUUCGGUCAGGGAUGAGCUCGCGACCUAUCAGCUUGUUGGUGAGGUAAUGGCUCACCAAGGCGUCGACGGGUAGCCGGCCUGAGAGGGUGACCGGCCACACUGGGACUGAGACACGGCCCAGACUCCUACGGGAGGCAGCAGUGGGGAAUAUUGCACAAUGGGCGAAAGCCUGAUGCAGCAACGCCGCGUGAGGGACGACGGCCUUCGGGUUGUAAACCUCUUUUAGCAGGGAAGAAGCGAAAGUGACGGUACCUGCAGAAAAAGCGCCGGCUAACUACGUG
rnacentral:rRNA from 1 species